rnacentral:rRNA from 1 species
UGAACGCUGGCGGCGUGCCUAAUACAUGCAAGUCGAGCGACCAGACGAGGAGCUUGCUCCUCUGACGUUAGCGGCGGACGGGUGAGUAACACGUGGAUAACCUACCUAUAAGACUGGGAUAACUUCGGGAAACCGGAGCUAAUACCGGAUAAUAUAUUGAACCGCAUGGUUUAAUAGUGAAAGACGGUUUUGCUGUCACUUAUAGAUGGAUCCGCGCCGCAUUAGCUAGUUGGUAAGGUAACGGCUUACCAAGGCAACGAUGCGUAGCCGACCUGAGAGGGUGAUCGGCCACACUGGAACUGAGACACGGUCCAGACUCCUACGGGAGGCAGCAGUAGGGAAUCUUCCGCAAUGGGCGAAAGCUUGACGGAGCAACGCCGCGUGAGUGAUGAAGGUCUUCGGAUCGUAAAACUCUGUUAUUAGGGAAGAACAAAUGUGUAAGUAACUAUGCACGUCUUGACGGUACCUAAUCAGAAAGCCACGGCUAACUACGUG